ensembl:miRNA
UAAAUGUCUUACUGCUUUUACUGUUGCCUCCUAGAGUCCAUUCUUUAGGAGGGAAUAGUAAAAGCAGUAAGACAUUUA